GACGAACCGAGCGAACGUUGUUCGGAAUCACUGGGCUUAAAGGGCGCGUAGGCGGGCUGUCAAGUCUGGGGUGAAAUCCCGCGGCUCAACCGUGGAACUGCCUCAGAUACUGACGGCCUCGAGGGAGAUAGGGGCGAGCGGAACUAAUGGUGGAGCGGUGAAAUGCGUUGAUAUCAUUAGGAACUCCGGUGGCGAAGGCGGCUCGCUGGAUCUUUUCUGACGCUGAGGCGCGAAAGCUAGGGGGAGCAAACGGG
rnacentral:rRNA from 1 species